rnacentral:rRNA from 1 species
UGGGGAAUCUUGCACAAUGGGGGAAACCCUGAUGCAGCGACGCCGCGUGAACGAUGAAGCCCUUCGGGGUGUAAAGUUCUUUCGACAGGAACGAUAAUGACGGUACCUGGAGAAGAAGCUGCGGCUAACUACGUGCCAGCAGCCGCGGUAAUACGUAGGCAGCGAGCGUUGUUCGGAGUUCCUGGGCGUAAAGAGUGCGUAGGCGGCGGGCCAUGUUUGGUGUGAAAUCUCCCGACUUAACCGGGAGGGUGCGCCGAAAACUGGUUGGCUGGAGUAUGGGAGAGGAAAGCGGAAUUCCUGGUGUAGCGGUGAAAUGCGUAGAUAUCAGGAGGAACACCUGCGGUGUAGACAGCUUUCUGGACCAAAACUGACGCUGAGGCACGAAAGCGUGGGUAGCAAACA